rnacentral:rRNA from 1 species
GACGAACGCUGGCGGCGUGCUUAACACAUGCAAGUCGAACGGUAAGGCCCUUCGGGGUACACGAGUGGCGAACGGGUGAGUAACACGUGGGUGAUCUGCCCUGCACUUCGGGAUAAGCCUGGGAAACUGGGUCUAAUACCGGAUAGGACCACUGCCUGCAUGGGUGGUGGUGGAAAGCUUUUGCGGUGUGGGAUGGGCCCGCGGCCUAUCAGCUUGUUGGUGGGGGGAUGGCCUACCAAGGAGACGACGGGUAGCCGGCCUGAGAGGGUGACCGGCCACACUGGGACUGGGAUACGGCCCAGACUCCUACGGGAGGCAGCAGUGGGGAAUAUUGCACAAUGGGCGCAAGCCUGAUGCAGCGACGCCGCGUGAGGGAUGACGGCCUUCGGGUUGUAAACCUCUUUCAGCACCGACGAAGCGCAAGUGACGGUAGGUGCAGAAGAAGGACCGGCCAACUACGUGCCAGCCGCCGCCGUAA